rnacentral:lncRNA from 1 species
AUCUUUCGUUUUUGUAGUCUUAAUAUAUGGGUCUCAUCUAUUUUUGGUUGCAGAUGUUUGAGAGAGGCAGCAUAGACAUAAGAGGGGUUCAAUAUUGUUAACUCACAUCAUCCAGACCAGGUUAGCACACAUGCCAUGCAGAUUCUACUACUUGAUGUAGCCUUUCUCUUAGAUGUAAGUAGUAUUUUUACUGUGCUACUCUUUGAUCUUGAGUAGUUUGUUCAUGUAUUGUUUAAGAUGCGAUCAUCCAGACCAGGUUAGCACACAUGCCAUGCAGAUUCUACUACUUGAUGUAGCCUUUCUCUUAGAUGUAAGUAGUAUUUUUACUGUGCUACUCUUUGAUCUCGAGUAGUUUGUUCAUGUAUUGUUUAAGAUGCCAAAUAGAAUUAAAU